ACACUGAUGGUGAAGUGGUUAUCAUGCUUGCCUUCCAUGAAUUGUUUGUCAUGUAUGCAGCAAGCGGCAGGGGUUCGAUUCCCCUUCAGUGUA